UACGGGGGGGGCAAGCGUUGUUCGGAAUUACUGGGCGUAAAGGGCUCGUAGGUGGCCAACUAAGUCAGACGUGAAAUCCCCAGGCUCAACCUGGGAACUGCGUCUGAUACUGGAUGGCUUGAAUUCGGGAGAGGGAUGCAGAAUUCCAGGUGUAGCGGUGAAAUGCGUAGAUAUCUGGAGGAAUACCGGUGGCGAAGGCGGCAUCCUGGACCGAGAUUGACACUGAGGAGCGAAAGCCAGGGGAGCAAACGGG
rnacentral:rRNA from 1 species